rnacentral:lncRNA from 1 species
UGACGGAGUCCCGGUGGAUGGGAAGCCACUGGUUGGUGUCCCGGUGGUUGGUGUCCCAGUGCUUGGGGUUCCUGUGGUUGGUGUUCCAGUGCUUGGGGUUCCUGUGGUAGGUGUCCCAGUGGACGGGGUCCCACUAGAGCUGCAAAAGUAGUCAAAAACUUCAGUGAUUAUUUGUCGGAAGAUAAUUUGAAUGGUUUAUUAAAAGAUUAACUGGUAAUACACAUCUGGAUCAUGUGAAUGAUUGUUUGUUUUUUUUAUAUGCUUUUUGAAUUUUAGUAAAGGUGAAAUGAACAGAAAUGAAUGUUCGUUUGGUCUUA